UACGGAGGGUGCAAGCGUUGUCCGGAAUCAUUGGGCGUAAAGGGCGAGUAGGCGGAAAGGUAAGUCAGUAGUGAAAGUUCGGGGCUCAACCCCGAAUCUGCUAUUGAAACUGCUUUUCUUGAGUGUGAGAUGGGAAAGUGGAAUUCCCGGUGUAGCGGUGAAAUGCGUAGAUAUCGGGAAGAACACCAGUAGCGAAGGCGGCUUUCUGGCUCACAAACUGACGGCUGAACCGCGAAAGCGUGGGGAGCGAACAGGAUUACGAUACCCCGUAGUCC
rnacentral:rRNA from 1 species